UACGAAGGGGGCUAGCGUUGCUCGGAAUCACUGGGCGUAAAGGGUGCGUAGGCGGUUCUUUAAGUCAGGGGUGAAAUCCUGGAGCUCAACUCCAGAACUGCCUUUGAUACUGAGGAUCUUGAGUUCGGGAGAGGUGGGUGGAACUGCGAGUGUAGAGGUGAAAUGCGUAGAUAUUCGCAAGAACACCAGUGGCGAAGGCGGCUCACUGGCCCGAUACUGACGCUGAGGCACGAAAGCGUGGGGAGCAAACAGG
rnacentral:rRNA from 1 species